GAGCGAUAAGGGGCGGGAGGAGACAGUCGUCGCUGCGGAGCCGGGGCUGGGGCGCUGACCCGUCCCACGGGCCCAGCGGGCCUUGAAGGCAGCGAGAGAAAGCAGCGGCCACGAGACGGCGGGGAGGCUGGUAAUCAGGGGCCGAGCCGGCCCUCGUGGGGAGCUGGGCCAGCUGGCAGGCCAAAGCGCAGGAGACAGCCUGAGAGGAGCUCGAAGGAGGAAGCAGCAAGAGGAGGAGAUUUCUGUGCAACAAAAAGUGCCAAACACAAGACCUCAACAGAUUGGAUUGUACCCGCCUACACUGAUGAGGUUGGAUCUUCUUUACUCAGUCCACUGAUUCAAAUGCCAGUCUCUGAAGUAACCAGCCAUCUGGGUAUCCCUUACCCAGUGAAGUGGACACCUAAAAUUAACAUCAUCUGGGGGACCACCUUCCAAGUUGUAUGAGCAGCCUUAUGGAGAGUCCCAUGUAGUGAGGAACUGAAAUCUCCUACCAACAGGAACAUUGAUGAGGAAAGUGGAGAUUCAGAAAGAUGAUGAUCCUCGGUUCAAGGUCUCAGAGCUACUUCUUCCUUGUCUGUGCCAGGAAUGAGAAUCUCCAUGGACUUGACCACGUAAGGCAGUGACUGGAUGGAGAGGAUCCUGGGGACAGGGCAGAGGGGAAGAAAAGGAAAAAGAGAAGCAGACAAGAGUGAAAAAGAAUUCUGGCACCCAUCUGAUGCUGUCUCUGUACAUAGGUAAUCUCAUGGAAAAAGUAAAGAUGUUUUUGCACCAUCCUCCGGACACUGUGCUUGUGAUUGAUUAAUUAGAGGACUGUUUUUUCUGGAGAUACACUGUAUAUAUCUUCCAGACAUUCUGUGAGCAAAAGUGGCAUCAUGGGCCAGGCUUUUUGCAGGACUGAAGGCAUGAAGAAAUGAGAAGGAGCGAUUCCCGGAAUCCAGAGACAGAGAGGGCUGUGUGAUGCCACAGGGAGAAGCUUGGGAAAUAACUAACCCAACCUCUGUAUCCUCCCUCCCUCUGAUCUCCUUAGGCUCUGCAUUGGCCUAACUCAAUGGGAAGCCCAAUGGGAAAGGGAGCGAGGUGACAGAGUCCAUACAUGUCAGUCUGUCAGGGGAGAAAGCAGGAUGAAACAAGAGGAAUGGAUAUGCAGGGCAAAUGGAAAAUAUUCAGCACAGUGCUGGUAAAUUUGUUCAUCCUGUCUUUGUAGGGAAGCAAUACAAGAAGUCAAAUUAUAACCAGGGGGUUGCUCAGGUAGUAUGAAAUCACAGUGAAGAAAAUUAGUUGGCUAAUAUCAAGUCUGAUGUUCUAAUACAUUUCUGACAGGGAUCUUGCUGAGGUACUGGAAGUUUGAGCUGGUAUGUCAAGAGAUUUACUGCUUCUUUACAUAGUCAUGCGAAUAAUUUCCUUUCUACAAUUCAUUCACUCUUCAUUCUUGGGAUACAUACUGUGGCACUUUCAGAAAUCUUCAAAUUGCAAA